UACGUAGGGGGCGAGCGUUGUCCGGAUUUAUUGGGCGUAAAGAGCGUGUAGGCGGCCAGGUAGGUCCGUUGUGAAAACUCGAGGCUCAACCUCGAGACGUCGGCGGAAACCCUCUGGCUAGAGUCCGGAAGAGGAGAGUGGAAUUCCUGGUGUAGCGGUGAAAUGCGUAGAUAUCUGGAGGAACACCGGUGGCGAAGGCGGCAUCCUGGACCGGCAUUGACGCUGAGGCGCGAAAGCCAGGGGAGCAAACGGG
rnacentral:rRNA from 1 species